CAUGUCUUUUUGAUAAUAAUUUAAAGUCUGGCCUGCCCUAUGAAUUUUUAAAUGGCUGCGGUAUUUUGACCGUGCAAAGGUAGCAUAAUAAUUAGUUUUUUAAUUGAGAACUGGAAUGAAAGGUCGCACGAGAAAAAGGCUGUCUCAAUUUAAUUUAAAUUAGAAUUUUAUUUUUAAGUAAAAAAGCUUAAAUAUAAUUAAAAGACGAGAAGACCCUAUAGAGUUUAAUAUUUUUAUUUAUAUUUAAAAAUUAAAGUAUUUUAAAUUUAAUUAUAAAUGAAAUUAUUUAAUUGGGGCGAUUAAAAAAUUUAAUAAACUUUUUUUAUUAUUAAACAUUGAUUUAUGAUUAAUUGAUCCAUAAUGUUAUGAUUAUAAGAUUAAAUUACCUUAGGGAUAACAGCGUAAUUUUUUUUGAGAGUUCUUAUCGAAAAAAAAGUUUGCGACC
rnacentral:rRNA from 1 species